AGUGAACGCUGGCGGUAGGCCUAACACAUGCAAGUCGAACGGCAGCACAGUAAGAGCUUGCUCUUACGGGUGGCGAGUGGCGGACGGGUGAGGAAUACAUCGGAAUCUACUUUUUCGUGGGGGAUAACGUAGGGAAACUUACGCUAAUACCGCAUACGACCUACGGGUGAAAGCAGGGGAUCUUCGGACCUUGCGCGAUUGAAUGAGCCGAUGUCGGAUUAGCUAGUUGGCGGGGUAAAGGCCCACCAAGGCGACGAUCCGUAGCUGGUCUGAGAGGAUGGUCAGCCACACUGGAACUGAGACACGGUCCAGACUCCUACGGGGGGCAGCAGUGGGGAAUAUUGGACAAUGGGCGCAAGCCUGAUCCAGCCAUACCGCGUGGGUGAAGAAGGCCUUCGGGUUGUAAAGCCCUUUUGUUGGGAAAGAAAAGCAGCAGGUUAAUACCCCGCUGUUCUGACGGUACCCAAAGAAUAAGCACCGGCUAACUUCGUG
rnacentral:rRNA from 1 species